UAACUAUAAACAGUGUCCUAAGUCGCUUUACUACAGAGUGUAGUGAAAAGCAAUAGUAAUUUAAGAGGGUCGCUACCAGGUAUGUCGAAAAGUCUGUCUGUUGCUCGUAUUACUGCUGUUUACAAGCAUCCUUUCUAGCACGUGAAGGUUUCCCUGUUCAGUAAUAACCAGCACAUCUAACUGUAACAAAUAAUUCGGUUUUCAUUAUAUAACACAUACUAGGUCAGCAUCUGUAAUCUAUUAGUCCUUGCACUUAUGACGACUGACCUGGUGGAGCAUAAAUAUUGAUGCUAUAGGUCCAAAAUAUUUACUGCGAAAUUCGCACGAUCUUUACAAAAAAUUCUACCGGGUGUUACUUUUUAUGUGGAACAAUUAAAGAAAUGUCGUGUCGAUUUUCCGGCCGAUCCCACUGGUAGACCAUCCGUGGUUAAGCUGAUAUUAGUAGAAAAAUAAAAUAAAAUAAAAUAAAAUAAAAUAAAUAAAUAAAUAAAUAUAUAUAUAAAUAAAUAAAUAAAUAAAUAGACAAAGAAAAGUCAGCGAUAAUUUUACUAAGACGGUUUGAUAGGGCUGCUAUUUCGGGCGCAUAGGUGCGCCGUCACAUGAUAUUUUUCAUAUUUCGCGCGCCUUCUUUAAUUGCCAAAACAAGUAAACACGCGAUAUGUACCUUCAUGGAGACACCUCUUUCUUACGUUUCUUACGAUUCCUUACAACCGCCUAAGUGGCACUUUGACAAUUAUAAUAAAAAUGCUAGUUUAAAUCGACAAUCAGCUUUAGUUAUAUAUUGCGAUGCCAAGAAGUAAAAGUUACCGGCGGUUACUCAAAGAGACUUUAAAAACAUGCUCUUGUACUUAUUGGAGGAAAAUUAUGCGUGUUUUAUUAAAAAAGAAAAAAAAAACAGGUGCAUGAUAGCUGGGACUCCGGUACGUUCACCGUCUUAACAAUACCAACGUGAAAACAAACUAGCACGAAUAUAUGACCAACAAAAAAUAGUUGAGCAGGUACUGAACUGGUCGUACAAGGACACAGCUAACGGAUAUUGUUGAUUGUUUAACUGUGAAUAAGCUAUGCUCAGGUCGAUGGUUGGAACUAUAUAAAAUGCUCGGCUAUAUUAUACGGCUCAGUGCUGCAGGGACACACUGGAAGGAACGUGCAUUCGCUGGUGCUUUCUGUUAGGUAGGAGCAGGAGUCACCAUGUUGCACAGAAAUAUGUAUUGGUCUGGUAUUUUCACUGUAAUGGUGCUUAGUUUUCUGCUUUACACUACAGCUUUAACAGGGAUCGGGAGAUGCAGACCACCGAACUGCGCCAGGCGCCCACGGAAUAAGACCUGUAGAAAUCCAUGCGUGGGAUACUAUUGUGUAAAUGGAACGCUGGAGAAAGAAGAGUGCCUCGCUUUGACCGACCCGCGAUGCCAUCGCUUAUUCGCUAAUCCCAGAGAACCUUAUCCUGGAUGUUGCGGUGCUAUUGCUUGCCCUGGUGGAUAGAUGCAAAGAGCUGUCUUGAAGAAAAUUGAGUGUCAGCACCCUUUAUCUCAAGCCUGUUGCUUAACAAUUACCAUAUUUAUUAUGGCGCGGUGUGCACGUUAUAUGCCGAAUGGUUCGCUAAUGUAUGCGUAUGAAUAAAUAAAUUUCUGACUC